UAAAAUAUAAUUUAAGAAGAAAACCUAUCUUCCCCUUUCCUUCUUUAGUUCGCUCUUUCACUCCGCGGUGAUGAAAUUGAAGACUUCAAAAUCAUAAAAAUUUGUGUUCAGUAGUUGAAGGAUAACGUGUGCGCAAUAUGGUAUUUGAUACUUUUCUAACUUUUUUUGGAUUUUUACAGUAGUAAUUUUAGUUGUUGAUAAGCUUAAAAUUUUCUUUCCCUUUUUGUUUAAAAGUCAAAUCUUUCUCAUUUGGGUGUUGUUAAUUUUGUGAAAUAGAUGCCCGAUCUUCCACUUUGUACUUUGUUUUGUGGUAGAUGUUAGUUUUCUUGGGAUUUUGAAACGUAGAAAGAACCCUAUUUUACUUUUUAUUUAUUUAUUUUUGUUUUUUAGAUGUUGGUUUUACUGCAUAAUAUUUCUUUUAUGUCGAGGGUCUAUCAAAAAUCAACUCUGAAACACCACAAACAAAGUAAGGAGUAAACUGUUUUGUCCAUGUUAUCCUUUCUAGAACUUUGGAAACAUAACUUUCUGUCUGGCUAAGAAACUAGUCCAAGUUAUACCAAUAUGUAUAUAUAUUGGACAUUAUCCUUCCUCUCCUAUGAAGAAGAAACUCCAGAAGCAUCACCCAAUUUGGAAUUCAUGAGUUGAUAUUUAUUUAAAAGUUGUGAUAUAUGUUGAAUUUCCCUAGGAGAGGUUUAAACAUUGAGUGGAAACUUACUUUCUGUCUGGUUAGUAGAGAUUUCUUGCUUGUUAAGAGAUUAGUCAAAGUAAGAACGAGAAGUAUGUUGGAAAUGUUCCUUUCUUAAUAAGAUUCAUCAUCCAAUUUGGGAUUCUUGAGUUGAUGUAAAUUUCGAAGUUAUGUUAUGUGUUAAAUUCUCCUAGGCAAUCUUGAAGUAUUGAAUGGAAACUUACUUUUUGUAUGGUUUGUACGAAUUUCUUGUUUGCAAAGGGAUUUGUCUAAGUUAGACCGACAAGUAUAUAUAUGUUGGACAUGUUCUUUGAGUUUCAUCUUCACAGAUGAGGAAUGAUAAUGUAACAUAUAUACUUGUCCAUUUAACUAAGACUAAUCCCUUAAGAGAACAAAAUUUCUACUAACUAUACAAAAAUUAAGUUUCCAUUCAAUACUUUACGAUCGCCAAAAGAAUUCAACACACCACAUAACUUCGAUAUAAACAUCAACUCACCAAUCCCUAAUUGGGUGAUUCUUCUCGAGUUUCUUCUUCACAAAUCACGGAGCAUCAUGUCUAACAUAUAUACUUCUCGGUCUAACUUGGACUAAUUCCUUAGCAGACAAGAAAUUUCUACUAGCAAGAAAGAAUGUAAGUUUCCACUCAUUGUGUCAAGCUCACCCAAGGAAAUUUAACACACAACAUAACUUUCAAAUAAACAUGAAUCAAGAAUCCCAAAUUGUGUGAUGAUUCUUCGAGUUUUGUCAUCAUAGAAAGGAAUGAGUAUGUCCAUCAUAUUUCUCAGUAUAACUUGGAUUUAUUCUUUAAUAAGCAAGAAAUUACUAAGAGUAAGUUGCAUUUCACUCUCUUCUAAUAGUACAUCAUAAAAUUUAACAAUCCUCAGGCGAUUAAAUGUGAUAUUCGAGAAUCUUGCAUGAAUCUCAUCAAUAAAAUCACAGGGCACAAGUUCGAAAUAAUCCCCAUCACUAAGGAUACAUAAUCAUUCUUCAUAUAGCAUAAAUGUUUGGGGUCAUAUAUUCUGAAAAGGUUAACUGAUAUAGUAGUAUUUUUUGUACAAGUGUUAAAUCUAUAGUAAAACAUUUGUACUAAAAUUAAUACAAGUACUAUUUUUAUAUAUACUACCAAAUUACUCCUUUAGUGUUGAAAGAAGUGUCAAGUAUUAUCUAUUGAUUUAUAAUGUUGCAUAAACACAUGUCAUUCAUGUAGUGUUUUUAUGUAAACACUCACUACUAUAAAUUUGUAGUACAAUAAGUAUCGCAUCACUAAAUUGAACUGCUAGGUUCUCUUCAAUUUCUAUACAAAAAUAUUUUAUAUGUGUUUACUUUAACCUAAUCAAAACAAUUUUACAUCAAAAGUUUCAAACUAAAGAAAUCAAUUCAAGUGUCAUCUACGAAUUAUACACCUUUUCUUUUAUUUUUAAAGUUGUGACAUGUUUGUUUGUUGUUCGUGUAGCAUAUAUUCUGUCCUUAAAAAUCGUAUUCUUUUUUAAUUUCUACAAAUUAUCAUUCCUCCGGAUGAACAAAGACUAUGUUUACCUUCUCCUGAUCGACUUAGCAAUCUUGCCAUUCAUUUAAUUGUUGACAUUUUAAAUAGGUUGUCUUUUCAAGAUAUAUAAGAACUAGUACACUUUCUAAGGAAUGGCAAAAUAUUUGCCAAAAAAUUAACAGGUUAAUUUUGAUCAAAAGUUUUGGGAAACACCAGAGGACUUGACAUCCCAUACCAUUUGAUUUAUUCCUAUUCUUGAUUGUUUCCUCUAGUUUCAUAUGUGAAUAACAUAGAAAGUUAUCCUAGACUUUACUAGUCUAAAAGUAUGUCCUAAAUAAAAAACUUUGACCUAACUUGGACUAAUCCCUUGACAGGAAAGAAGUUCCUACUAACAAAAAAGUAAGUUUCCCUGAGAGAAUUCAAUAAAUAACAUAACUUUGCAAUAAACAACCAAAGACUCAAAUCAUAUAUCAUUUAAGAGCAUCCAUGAAAUGUAAAACCCAUCUCUGUUGACAAACUGAGUAUUCAAAACUUUUACAAUUCUAUGUUUCCAUGAAGAUAAAAUAUUUAUAGUACCUUAAAGUAAAGGCAAAAAACAGCCUUACUACUCAUCCACCAAACGUCUCAUUUUUGUAUAUACUUCCAAAACAUUUUAGCCAAAGAUUAAGAAGGAUUGUGAUAACGAUACUAAUCAACAAGAUACACAACUUCUGCUUUAGAUGAUGCCCAUUGAGACUUUGUUAUCUCCAUGAAUACAUUGAGAGAUUCAUUAGUUUCCAUUUGACGAGGCUUGAUUACCAUUUUCACCAGUGCUGGAGACUUUGCCAAUUAAACUUUGAUAAGCUGCAUUUCAACCUCUUCUAAUAGUACAUCAUAAAUCUUAACUGUUCUUAGAUGAUUAAAUGUUAUAUCCGAAAAGCUUGAAGGAAUCUCAUCAACAACUUGUUGGUUCACACAUUCGAAAUAAUAUCCAUCACUAAGGAUACAUUCCUAAGAAAAAUCAAGAAAAAAACCAUCAAAUCAUUACACACGAAUAUAAAAACAUGGAAAAGAUAGAGAGAAAAAUAAGCAUUACUGACGACCUUAAUUUCAAUUUCUUCCAAAUUUGGGGAACUUCGUACAUUGCAAGUAAUAAACGAAAGCUAAAAAACUCUCCAAGAGUAGUCCAACAUAUGUAAAGGUAUUUCAGACAGUUAAGACCUGAUAGAAGCCUUUUUGGUAUAAGUUCAGUUGAUACAUUAUCCAACUACAUAUAAAAUGACAAAAUCAGGAUUACUCAAAGUCAAAAUAAAAGUACACAUAAAAAUGCAUUACCAUUAAGUUAAAUGAAGGAACAUUACCCCAAAAAGAUCCCAGCUGAAAGACUCAAGAGCAGGGAUAGAGGAAAAAAUACUGAGAAAAUCAUCUUCAUCCUCUAGAACAAAUUCUCUAGGCGCAUACAAAACAUUGGGAAUAACAGGAAUAUUUUCAAGAUAUAUCAAUUGUAUAUCGCAAGAAAAGACAAAUGACCUUAGAUUAAGAGCAGUAAUACUUAUGAGGUACAGAUUGUCUGUCUUUUAGCACCAAAUCCUCAAGAAACGGGUUAUUAGAGAUCAAACUUUCAAACGUAUUAGUAGAUAAUGUGACAUAUUUAAAUUUUACCCUAAUCAACAUACUAAAUCCCUAAAAGAAACAUGGAAGUUGUAUUUUAGAUUCCAUGAAAUACAAAUGCCACAAUGCUGAACAAUAGAAAAAGAAGUUGGGCAACCUAUAUAGAGGAUAAAUAAAUGGAAGUUUAAGGACAAAAUGUUGAAUGUGAUCAACAUUAGGACACACUAUUAUACUAAUAAUAUUGAAGGUGACCUUCAGUAUUAUUCUUCUAUGAAACCUGAGGAAACUAUCAAGAAUCGGAAUAAAUGCAAUGGUAGGGGAUGUCAAGUCCUCGGGUGUUUUCCACACUAUUUGAUCAAACUUCAGAUGUGGAAUUCUCCAGCAAAUAUAUUGUCAGUCCUUCAAAAGUGUAGUAACUCUUACAACAUCUCGAAAAGACAACCUACUUAGAAUCUCUUCGAUUAAAUGAAUGUUAAGGUUCUUAAGUCGAUCAGGAGAAGGUAAACUAAGACAUUGUUCAUCCGGAGGAAUGAUAAUCUGUAGAAAAUAAAUAAAAGUAAGAUAGGUAAGUUCAAUGUACACUCUACACGAACAACAAAUAAACAUAUCAUAACUCUAAGAUUAAAAGAAAAGGUGCAUAAUAGGAGGCAAAUGUAACCUUUUUCCAUGUUUAAAAAAUGCAAAAGAAAUUAUUAGUAGCUGACAUUUGCAUUGAUAUAUUUAAUCUGCAACUCUUGAUAUAAAUUUGUUUGGCUUAGGUUAAAUCAAACACAUAUCAAGUAUUUGUGUAUAGAAUUUGAAAAAAAAAACUUAGACGUUUAAAUUAGUGAUUUUAUACUUAUUGUACUAGAAAUUUAUAGUAUUGAGUGCUAAAAUCAAAAUACUAUAGGAAUGGCAUGUGUUUGUUUGACCGUAUAUUUAACUCUGGUACAACUAAUACUAGUAUUACAAUUAACUUCUUUUGGGAUAUAUGACCCUGAACACUUGAUCUACAUGAAGCAUAAAAUAUUAUUUUAGUGAACUACACACUUAAUUUCAAUAUUUUGGUGAAACAUAAUAAAAAACACAUUCUGAAAUUUUAAUUUUUGUAUAAGCUAUUAAUAAGAACACAAAAAUCAUGAGAAAUGGUAUUAUUUUGUAAAACCUAAAACCAUCAAGACUUGAAUGAUAAAUCAGAUUCCUAUAAAUUUAAAACAAAAUAUUGAUAGGUGAAAAAGGUGAUAUUCGUUAUCCAAGACUAAGCCAUAAGUCCAUAUGCCUUUAGCCUAUAUUUUCUCAAGAAAACAUAAUUAGAAUUACACAAAUAUUUUACUUUUUCUUAAUAGUUUAAUUUUUUUUAAAAAAAACUACAAAUCUUAGGAGGAAACAAGAAAUAACUAAUUUUGUUGCUGCCAUUACACAAUGAAUUUAGGUACACCCAUCAUCAUAGUAUACUAUUGUUCUUUUUUUAAAAAAAAAAUACUUUUAUUAUUAUUGUUUUACUUAGGUUUAUUCAUAGGAUUGCUCUAUGCCUUUAAAGAUUAGGCAUAUGUCUUAGGCUCCAAAAAAUUUAAAGGCCUAAUGUUUUAGUAACAAUAAAAUUAUCGUAAGCUUUUUGUAGCAAAAAAAUGAAUGUUUUAAUUUGUAUGGAACUCUUUUAUAUUGAUCAAUUUUAAAUUUAACCUCCACAUGAUAUGUUUAAGACCACAAGAUUAAAAAAAAUUGGUAUAUAUAUAACUUUAGUUUAAUAUAAUAAAAAUAAAACUAUUUUUAUUAAAAAGAAAGAAAUAACUGGAAUUUCACAUAAAAAUAAAAAAUUGUAAAAAUUCGUCCUCAAACUUAUUUUUAGCUUUAGGACACUAUCUAGCUUAAGCCAUCACUAAGUUUUUUUUUUUAUCAAUUAUGUGUACUAACUGUUGAAGGAAACUUGACGAGUGAUGGGACACGUCGAAGGAACAGGUCCAUCGAAGUAGACUGAUGAGUUAGAGUUAGACUCCUACUAGGAUUAGACUACUAAAUCUUAAGUUACGUACGACUAAGCUAUUGAAUAUUAUAGGAGUCAACAAGGAUAAUGUAUUUGACUUGUAAUACAAUACUACUCAUGUAAUUAUUUGUAUUGUAGUAGGAUUCCUAGUAUAACUAGAAUAGGACUCUUCGCCUAUAUAAGGAGAUUUUAACUCAACAUUAUAAUAAUCAAUACAUCCUUGAUUUCUACACACUUUCGUGAGAUUUAUAAGUUGUAUCUGACAAAUAAAGUUUUUUCUGCUAUUUAACGUAUUAGAUCAAAAUAAACUUAAGACAAUGAAUUAUCUUAUAUGGAGGACACAAAUGACUUAGUUGAUUCAAGUGAUGAGAUUAACCUAAAUUAUCACAGAACCAAGUUGAGCGACCUGUUUCAAUGGACAGACUACUGAGAAAAGUGUAAUAGGCGAAAGGGUGCAGAAGACAACAACACUGUUGAUGAUUGGGAGGAUAAGGAUAUGUUACGAAGGAGUUGGAUAUAGGGCACCUUGACAGAAGAAAGCAUGUACCUGAUUGUAGUCUACUCAACUGCCACGGAGAUGUGGGAAUUCUUGGGAGAAAAAUAUUUUCAAGCAACUAAAGAUAAGAAGUUCCAAAUAAAGUAACAACUACAAAGUGUGUGUAACGACCUGUUUAGUCGUUUUGAGCAGCAGAUUUUAUUUCUGGAAAAAUUGGCUAAGACGACAGAUCCCACGACGGACCGUUAUGGGCAUGACGGACCGUCACAGUCUGCGUAACCUUGACUGGGUCGGAUUUCAGUUUAAUAUUUUAAGGGGCGUUUUGGACUAUUCCUGCUUAUAAUUAUAAAGUUAGUGGUUGAAUAUUAAUAAUCCAAUUUCUUGAGGGUUAAAGGAGAUAACCUUGAAUUAAUUAGUGGGUUACUUUUGUCAUCUUUUAUACUUAAUUAUAUGCUAAUUAGGGUAAAAGAAAAAGGGUUGAAUAAGAAAUAUAGAAAGAACAGAGAGAGAAAGGGAGAAACGAUCGAUUGAGAGAGGGACAAGAAGAAAGCAAAGAUUUUGAGGAUUAGCUUUCUUGAUCACAAUUCUUCGGUGGAGCUAGGUUAUGGUUUUUAUGUUAUUCAUAGUAAAAUUUUAAUAGCGAAUGAUAUGUGUUGGGUAGAAUUGUAAAGUCUUCUAUAUGCUUAAUUGUGUGCUUGCAUGAUGUAAUUAUGUAAUUGUAAUGGGUUGGAAAGAUAAGGUUGUGAACCUUAAAUCUAAAACUCUGUCUGUUAAUGAUGAUGCCUUGAUAUAAAAGAAGGCUCGAUAAACAAAAAGAAUGAGGUUAGGGGAUCGGGUGUCACGAACCGACACGUAGUAAUAGGGGGAUCGGGUGUCACAAACCGACACGUUGUAAUAGGGGAUCGGGUGUCACGAACCGGCACGUAGUAAUAGGGGAUAGGGUGUCAUGAACCGACAGUGUAGUAAUAGGGGGAUCGGGUGUCACGAACCGACACGUAGUAUUAGGGGGAUCGAGUGUCACGAACCGACACGUAGUAUUAGGGGAUCGGAGUGUCACGUUCCGACAAAAGAGGAAUAAAGAGAGUGAAUCUUGAAUUAUUGUAAUAUACUCAAAUUUAAUGAACCUAUUUCCCCAAAGGAGUAUGGUAUGGAGGCUUGCUUCCUCAUGGGUGUACUUGACGUACUUAUUAAUGAUUAUAGUACUUGUUGUUGCUACUUGUUGAGUAUUGUAGUUGAUUUUAUGAUAUUAUCUGAUAUAUACUGUUUUCUAUCUUGAUUUUACCGAUGAUACUUACUCAGUACCUGUGUUAUGUACUGACCCCUACUUGUAUGUAUUCUUUUUAUUAUUUGUGGAGUGCAGUAAACGUACCGUCAUCUUCAACUCAACUGCAACUCUAGCAAGUCUUCGUCACACCAGAUUUCAGGGUGAGCUAAAGCUUCUAGCUUGGACUGGAUCUUCUUCUUCAUGUCCGGAUGCCUUCAAGUUCUGGCAUAGACUAGCUGUUAUUUAUGUUUAGUUUCUUAGAUACUCUUAGAUUUAGAAAUUUGAGAAUAGAUGUUCUUGUGAUGAUGACUUCCAGAUUUUGGGGAUAAUGAUGAGUUUGAGUUUUAGAAGUUGAUUAUUGUUUUUGUUAAUGAGUUUUAAGUCUUCCG
rnacentral:lncRNA from 1 species